rnacentral:rRNA from 1 species
UACAGAGGGGGCAAGCGUUGUUCGGAAUUACUGGGCGUAAAGGGCGCGUAGGCGGCCUGUUAAGUCGAACGUGAAAUCCCCGGGCUCAACCCGGGAACUGCGUCCGAUACUGGCAGGCUUGAAUCCGGGAGAGGGAUGCGGAAUUCCAGGUGUAGCGGUGAAAUCCGUAGAUAUUGGAAGGAAUACCGAUGGCGAAGGCAGCUUCUGGCUCGUAACUGACACUGAGAUUCGGAAAGCGUGGGUAGCAACAGGGAUUAAGAAACCC